rnacentral:lncRNA from 1 species
UGGGAAUGACAGAAAGCCACAUAAGAAAUGAAGAGCAAAACUCACACAGAACACACCUCAGUAGUCUUCCUUUUACAAUCAAAGCUAAAACACCACCCAUCUUUUAAAGAACAACCUGGAGACACGAGACAGAAGCAAGCCUCGGAUAUUGUAUGAACUAUCUUUCAUGAGUUGCAUUGUGUCGAAGUCAAUGCUCCGACUCUUAUCAACUCCUAUUAAUUCAUCUCUUAUUGUAGGUAGAAGACAAUGAUACGAUGCUCCACAACACAAAUCAACGUAGAUUCCGCAACGCCCGUGGAACAAAAGCAAAGGGAAUCGUUGAGUACGUUUCAGUUUUGAUUGUUUAAGCUGAUCAACCUUGCCUCCGGCAGGUUAGCCUCCCUUCUUAUUUUGUCGACCACCCUCGUAGCAUCGACCCUCUCAGCUAUCACCUCCAAUAUAUUUCCACGCUCUCCAGCAUAGUCCGCAGAUUUAAAACCUGUUUCAAUGUCGAAUCCGUAUACAAGAGAGGAUGAUGAGAAGAGUAGGGUUCUCUCUAAAUUUUUAGAGGCGGAGGAUGUCCAUGGUUAAUGCAUGAAAUCAUUCCGAUGAAAUUCGCGUUUAUGGAGGAGGGUCGGGAGAUGAGGGAGAUGAGGAGUAUUAAUCAGCAAACUAUAUGUAGCCUUCGUAGAUGUUUCUGAAACGGGGGGUAGGAAUUGUUACCAGUUACUUCGUUUAAAGCGAUCGUACGUGCCCUGGCCUUCUGGAUCGGGUCCUCCGUCGUGAGAUCAAUCACUACCUUCUUCUAGAUAUGAUGGACGAAGCGGCGAGAGAUGUUAGUAAAGUUUUAAGAGGAAGAAGACGAACAGGAGACAACUAUCGAUUCAGAAACAUUAACGAACCAAAACGAGGAAAAAAACCCUAACGCAAGAAAAUCAAGACGAGUGAUGGGAGUAAGUACAGACCGCCAUUUUGCUUCCGACACCGAUCUUAUCUUCUGCUCAAGCUGAGCCUCUCUCUUUCUCUACACGCAACG